AUUGAACGCUGGCGGCAGGCCUAACACAUGCAAGUCGAGCGGAUGAAGGGAGCUUGCUCCUGGAUUCAGCGGCGGACGGGUGAGUAAUUCCUAGGAAUCUGCCUGGUAUUGGGGGAUAACGUCCGGACACGGGCGCUAAUACCGCAUACGUCCUGAGGGAGAAAGUGGGGGAUCUUCGGACCUCACACUAUCAGAUGACCCUAGGUCGGAUUAGCUAGUUGGUGUGGUAAAGGCCUACCAAGGCGACGAUCCGUAGCUGGUCUGAGAGGAUGAUCAGUCACACUGGAACUGAGACACGGUCCAGACUCCUACGGGAGGCAGCAGUGGGGAAUAUUGGACAAUGGGCGAAAGCCUGAUCCAGCCAUGCCGCGUGUGUGAAGAAGGUCUUCGGAUUGUAAAGCACUUUAAGUUGGGAGGAAGGGCAGUAAGUUAAUACCUUGCUGUUUUGACGUUACCAACAGAAUAAGCACCGGCUAACUUCGUG
rnacentral:rRNA from 1 species